rnacentral:misc_RNA from 1 species
AACCAUUCUCACCUGCGGCUAGACCUGCGGAGGGAUCAUUACCGAGUUUACAACUCCCAAACCCCUGUGAACAUACCUAUACGUUGCCUCGGCGGAUCAGCCCGCGCCCCGUAAAAAGGGACGGCCCGCCCGAGGACCCCUAAACUCUGUUUUUAGUGGAACUUCUGAGUAAAACAAACAAAUAAAUCAAAACUUUCAACAAUGGAUCU